rnacentral:rRNA from 1 species
CUGCAUGGCUGUCGUCAGGUCGUAAUCGGGAGAUGUUCGGUUAAAUCCGGCAACGAGCGCAACCCACACUUCUAGUUGCCAACAUUCAGUUGGGCACUCUAGAAGAACUGCCGAUGAUAAGUCGGAGGAAGGUGUGGAUGACGUCAAGUCCUCAUGGCCCUUACGGGUUGGGCUACACACGUGCUACAAUGGCAGUGACAAUGGGUUAAUCCCAAAAAGCUGUCUCAGUUCGGAUUGGGGUCUGCAACUCGACCCCAUGAAGUCGGAAUCGCUAGUAAUCGCGUAACAGCAUGACCGCGGUGAAUACGUUCCCGGGCCUUGUACACACCGCCCGUCACACCAUGGGAGUUGGGUUCACCCGAAGGCGGUGCGCCAAUCCUCGCAAG